UUCGAGAAAUCGGAGUUAAUACUGCAUUCGUCCCUUCGGGGAGAAAGAUGGCCUCUUUGCUGUCGCUGAUUGAUGAGCUUACGUACUAUUAGCUAGUUGGUAGGGUAAAGGCCUACCAAGGCGAUGAUGGUUAGCCGGCCUGAGAGGGUGUACGGCCACACUGGAACUUAGACACGGUCCAGACUCCUACGGGAGGCAGCAGUGAGGAGUCUUGCACAAUGGGCGAAAGCCUGAUGCAGCGACGCCGCGUGGAGGAUGAAGGUCUUCGGAUUGUAAACUUCUGUUAAGUGGGACGAAAGACGCAGCUUUAAUACAGUUGCGGGAUGACGGUACCAUUAGAGAAAGCACCGGCUAACUUCGUGCCAGCAGCCGCGGUAAUACGAAGGGUGCAAGCGUUAUUCGGAAUGAUUGGGCGUAAAGGGUGCGCAGACGGUCCACUAAGUCAACUGUUAAAUUUCCCAGCCUAACUGGGAGCUCGCAGUAGAAACUGAUGGACUAGAGGAUGGAAGAGAGAAGUGGAAUUCUCGGAGUAGCGGUAAAAUGCGUAGAUCUCGAGAGGAACACCGAUGGCGAAGGCAGCUUCUUGGUCCAUAUCUGACGUUCAUGCACGAAAGCGUGGGGAGCAAACAGGAUUAGAUACCCUGGUAGUCCACGCCGUAAACGAUGAUCACUAGACGUUAGUCGUGCUUGCAUGACUAGUGUCGUAGCUAACGCGUUAAG
rnacentral:rRNA from 1 species